rnacentral:rRNA from 1 species
UACAGAGGGGGCAAGCGUUGUUCGGAAUUACUGGGCGUAAAGGGCGCGUAGGCGGCCUUCUAAGUCGAACGUGAAAUCCCCGGGCUCAACCCGGGAACUGCGUCCGAUACUGGAAGGCUUGAAUCCGGGAGAGGGAUGUGGAAUUCCAGGUGUAGCGGUGAAAUGCGUAGAUAUCUGGAGGAACACCGGUGGCGAAGGCGACAUCCUGGACCGGAUUGACGCUGAGGAGCGAAA